GUAGGAGUAAAAGCUAAGUUCAGCUUUGAGGUGACUGUGACCUUGAUUGAAAGCAUCUUAUCGUUUAAGUUGGACCCGAGGCAAGGGUAAAGAUAAAAAUAAGUAGAAGGGGGACCGAGCUGAAGCAGAAUCUUGCCUGGAUGAUGUACAUAUGGCUACUUUGACCUGGGGAUGGCCUAGUUAUAUGUUUUGUUAUAUGUCACCUAGUAAUGACACGAGUAUGGUUUGUAUUAAAGAAUGAAAGUAGACUUUAUAUGUGUGUAAUAUGGUUUUGUUGGAAAAAAAUAAAAAAAUGCUAUUGCUUUUAUGAUGAAUUCGCAAUAUUAUUGUAGUAAGUCUUCUUUUAUUAAGUUAUGCGGGUUGGGGCGUUACAAGUUUGGUAUCAGAGCCCAGGUUUAAAGCGGUUCUGUAGACCGGCCAUAUGUACACAUCAAGGAAGGAAAUGCUUCACUCGGUAGUAAGUGUUUAUAUUUAUUAGUUAUAUGUUGGUUCAAUUGCCUAUAUGUUGAUAUGCUACUCGGUAUAGAUAAAUAAUUAAAUUGUAUGAUUUAUUGAGUAGAAAGAGAUGGCUGAAAGGCAAACAUCUGAAGCUAGUGAUAGUCCCACCCGAGAAAGGCAUGUCAGGGAAUUAGCUGAAUUACAAGAAAUUAUUCGUAGACAAGGUGAGCAGAUUGAGAAGUUAGCUCAAGAGUUGCGACAAGGACGUAAUGCUGAAGCUGUCCCACCUCCUCCACCACCUCCCCUACAUCAGAUGGAACCUUUAUAUGAGAGAUUUAGAAAACAACGCCCACCUACUUUUGAGGGUAGCAGUGACCCAUUAGAAGCACUAGAUUGGAAGAGUUCCCUAGAAGAUAUCUUUGAGUUUAUGCAAUUAAAUGAUAGGGAAAAGGUGUCUUGCACCGUGCAUACGUUAAAGAAAGACGCUAAGAUUUGGUGGGAUGUUGUUAAGCUUACACGUGACGUUAGUCAGAUGACUUGAGCUGAUUUCGAGACCCUUUUUAACGAGAAGUUCUAUAGUGAAGCUAUGUUAAGUGCUAAAGUAAACGAGUUUAGUAGAUUGUACCAGGGGAGUCUAUCGGUUGCUGAGUAUGCUCGAAAGUUUGAUCGAUUAGCUAAGUUUGCACCGGAUUUGGUGGUCACUGAGGCUAGUAGGGUGAAUCGUUUUCUUGAGGGAUUACAACCAGAGUUAGCUAGAGAUGUUGACAUGGGACGUACUGGGCCUCUCACUUAUUCUCAAGCAGUUGAAAAAGCUUUGAGAGCUGA